UGGGUGAGUAACACGUGCCUAAUCUACCUUUUAGAUUGGAAUACCCAUUGGAAACAAUGGCUAAUGCCGGAUACGCAUGGAACCGCAUGGUUCCGUUGUGAAAGGCGCUGUAAGGCGCCACUAAAAGAUGAGGGUGCGGAACAUUAGUUAGUUGGUGAGGUAAUGGCCCACCAAGACUAUGAUGUUUAGCCGGGUCGAGAGACUGAACGGCCACAUUGGACUGAGAUACGGCCCAAACUCCUACGGGAGGCAGCAGCA
rnacentral:rRNA from 1 species